GCCCUACCUGUUAAAGUUCCUCAGUGCUGUGUGCCAACAUGUUUCAAUCGAUCGGAGACAAACAACCACUCAGCUGUCAUUCUACCGCUUUCCUUGCAACGAAAAAUACAAGAGGAAAUGGCUGCAGUUAAUAAGCUACAGGUGUCCUGCAACAUACCUGCAGUAAGGGACUGGACUGGUGCAGGGAACAGGUGAACAGGAUCUCAAGGUUUCUGUCAUCAGGAUGUUAACAGAGGAGGACAAGCUGUGGCAGCAGUCUUACCUAUCCUACCAGAGUUUAAGUCACAAGCCGCAUCCCCGCUUAUAGAUCGGUCUCAGAUCCUACGGAUUCGCUCGAACCCGAAGUAGUUUCCGAUCCACCAUCUUGCCGGCCGUGCCAAAGCCACUACAGGGGUUUAAGACUCAAGCCAUAAGACCGAGGACUGAGAUUUGAAGACCGAUGAGCAACGACACAUGAGAGCAGGCUUCCUGGAACUCUUUUUACUCAGAGGCACGCCCCCUUAUUGGAUAUCACUCUCUGAUUGGACGCUGCUACACAGUGGAUGUCAGUGAAACUUCACAGCACCAGCAGAGGUAAAUAAUGGAGGAGAAACUGAGUUUAUAACAGACGGUAAACGGACUCAACGGACU